rnacentral:tRNA from 1 species
GCCGCGUUAGCUCAGUUGGUAGAGCAACCGCCUUGUAAGCGGUAGGUCGAGGGUUCAAAUCCUUCACGCGGCACCA